rnacentral:rRNA from 1 species
UACAGAGGUCUCAAGCGUUGUUCGGAUUCAUUGGGCGUAAAGGGUGCGUAGGUGGUGGGGUUAGUCAGGUGUGAAAUCUCGGGGCUCAACCCCGAAACUGCACUUGAUACUGCCUUGCUAGAGUACUGGAGAGGAGAUUGGAAUUUACGGUGUAGCAGUGAAAUGCGUAGAUAUCGUAAGGAAGACCAGUGGCGAAGGCGAAUCUCUGGACAGUUACUGACACUGAGGCACGAAGGCCAGGGGAGCAAACGGG